GCGGAAGUAGUUCAGUGGUAGAAUACAACCUUGCCAAGGUUGGGGUCGCGGGUUCCAAUCCCGUCUUCCGCUCCA
rnacentral:tRNA from 2 species